UGUUUAUUUGCUGUACUUUCUAAAUUACUAUAUAUAUAUAGUGUGUGAGUCUGUGUUAGUUGAGGGUAAAUGUUCAAGGUGUUAGUUGAGGGUAAAUGUUCAAGGUGUUAGUUGAGGGUAAAUGUUCAAGGUGUUAGUUGAGGGUAAAUGUUCAAGGUGUUAGUUGAGGGUAAAUGUUCAAGGUGUUAGUUGAGGGUAAAUGUUCAAGACUCCAUUGCCCUUGAAUUUGACUUGGAUAGAGAACUGUUGAAGUACAUUAAUGCCGGUAUCUUACGGAAAAUGCAUUCAACUUAAUAUUUUAUAAUCCUUAUUAUUUUUAAAAUCCAGAUGUGUCGGCUUCAUCCUGUUGCUUUUUAGUAACUAUUUCAAAUACGCAGCAUUAGGUAGCAAUGGGUCUCUGAGGCGGUUUUACCCACCCGUCAUUAAUUGUACCUUAUUUUUACACCGAUGUGGGUGUAUUGGGUGCUAGUUGUGUAGAUUUUAUUAAAGAAAACGAACCCUGUGAAUCGCGGAUCGAGCCGGGCCUCCUGUUUUGCUGCGGUCCGGAGCCGGUGUGUGUUGUGUUUUCGCGGCCUGGAGGUGCAGGCCUCCUCGUGGAGGGCGAAGAAGGACAAGCCUGCGUGUUGCGUGCGGACGCUGCGGGUGACGGACGCGCUCGGGGGGGAGGGGGGUUAGGUGUUCGUGAUCGACUGAAGCAGGAAUUGUAACCGGCCAGGUCCGCGUUCAGGGAUUGUAAAUCUGUGAAGGACGAGUCCUUGGGUUUAAACCGCCUCUAUCCUGUGACCCCAAAACCAUGUUAAAGGCCUCAACAAACCAGCUUCUGAUUGGCUGAAGGUGAUCUC